rnacentral:rRNA from 1 species
AGGAAAGCAGGGGAUCGCAAGACCUUGCGCUUUUGGAGCGGCCGAUGUCUGAUUAGCUAGUUGGUGAGGUAAAGGCUUACCAAGGCGUCGAUCAGUAGCUGGUCUGAGAGGACGACCAGCCACACUGGGACUGAGACACGGCCCAGACUCCUACGGGAGGCAGCAGUGGGGAAUUUUGGACAAUGGGGGAAACCCUGAUCCAGCCAUGCCGCGUGAGUGAAGAAGGCCUUCGGGUUGUAAAGCUCUUUCAGCCGGAACGAAACGGUCACAGCUAAUACCUGUGACUACUGACGGUACCGGAAGAAGAAGCACCGGCUAACUACGUGCCAGCAGCCGCGGUAAUACGUAGGGUGCGAGCGUUAAUCGGAAUUACUGGGCGUAAAGCGUGCGCAGGCGGUUUUGUAAGUCAGAUGUGAAAUCCCCGGGCUUAACCNUGGGAACUGCGUUUGAAACUACAAAGCU